rnacentral:misc_RNA from 1 species
CAAUCACUUAGUUUCUUAGUGUUUUACCCUCGGUCGUUUCCUUUUCUUGGUAUCCUGAUAUUCUGUAGUCUUAUUUUCUUGCAAUAAUGCUUUGAGUACCUUCUCUUUUGAGCCGAGAGUUCAUCAGAAACAACUUCUAUCCUCCACGAGGGUAAGGUAAACACACAUCUUAGUGUUUUACUCUUGGUCGUUAUCCUGAUAUUCUGUUGUCUUAUUUUCUUGCAAUAAUGCUUUGAGUACCUUCUCUUUUGAGCCGAGAGUUCAUCAGAAACAACUUCUAUCCUCCACGAGGGUAAGGUAAACACACAUCUUAGUGUUUUACUCUUGGUCGUUAUCCUGAUAUUCUGUU